AAACAUUUACCAUGAAAGCCCAUAGGAAGCCAUAUUAGUUGACUGUCUUUGGUGCUAACGGAGUCAAUAAAUAUUUGACAGUCAUUUUGAAGCUUUCAUACCCCCAUGGAUAGCUGUUAAACGCCUCAAGAUCCUCGGAGAGCUUUAUUAAACCGAGGCUUAUGUUGUUGUUAACGUCUCUCGCCCAAAUUAUAUUAUGUAAAAAC
rnacentral:lncRNA from 1 species